GCGGUCGUGGCGGAAUUGGCAGACGCGCUAGAUUCAGGUUUUAGUGGUGGCAACACCGUGGAGGUUCAAGUCCUCUCGACCGCACCA
rnacentral:tRNA from 1 species